rnacentral:tRNA from 1 species
AAGAAAUUAAUUAAUAUUUAUAAUAUUGGUUUGUCAUAUCAAAAUAAUCUUCUUAAAGAUAUUUCUUG